UACGUAGGGAGCAAGCGUUGUCCGGAAUCAUUGGGCGUAAAGCGCGCGUAGGUGGCUUCGUAAGUCCGUUGUGAAAGUCAAAGGCUCAACCUUUGAAAGCCGAUGGAUACUGCGGAGCUAGAGUACGGAAGAGGCGAGUGGAAUUCCUGGUGUAGCGGUGGAAUGCGCAGAUAUCAGGAGGAACACCAAUAGCGAAGGCAGCUCGCUGGGACGUUACUGACACUGGAGGCGCGAAAGCGUGGGGAGCGAACAGGA
rnacentral:rRNA from 1 species